rnacentral:rRNA from 1 species
AUGGUAAUCGGGGACUUCAAUGAGAUCAUGUAUUCCUUUGAAAAGGAAGGAGGGAAUGAGAGACCGGCCCAAUUUAUGCAAGCUUUCAAAGAUACUUUGUUAGAGUGCAAUCUCUCUAAUCAUGGUUUCAUCGGCGAUAAGUUUACUUGGCAUCAUGCUUUGAUCAGGGAGAGGCUGGAUGGGGCCUUGGUUUGUGAUAACUGGAACACGAUUUUCCCGGGUGCUAUUUUGGAGCACCCCGACUAUUACAAAUCUGAUCAUCGACCGAUUCUCAUGAACCUGCACGCCAAAGUGGCCCAAGAAUUGGUGUGUCAUGAGGUGCUACGGUUUGAAGCUCGAUGGCUGAAGGAGGCAAAAUUCAGGGAGGUUGUAUAA